AUUGAACGCUGGCGGAAUGCUUUACACAUGCAAGUCGAACGGCAGCACGGACUUCGGUCUGGUGGCGAGUGGCGAACGGGUGAGUAAUGUAUCGGAACGUGCCCAGUCGUGGGGGAUAACGUAGUGAAAAUUAUGCUAAUACCGCAUACGAUCUCUGGAUGAAAGCGGGGGAUUGCAAGACCUCGCGCGAUUGGAGCGGCCGAUAGCAGAUUAGGGAGUUGGUGGGGUAAAGGCCCACCAAGCCAACGAUCUGUAGCUGGUCUGAGAGGACGACCAGCCACACUGGAACUGAGACACGGUCCAGACUCCUACGGGAGGCAGCAGUGGGGAAUUUUGGACAAUGGGCGAAAGCCUGAUCCAGCCAUUCCGCGUGCAGGAUGAAGGCCCUCGGGUUGUAAACUGCUUUUGUACAGAACGAAAAGGUUUCUACUAAUACUAGGAGCUCAUGACGGUACUGUAAGAAUAAGCACCGGCUAACUACGUGCCAGCAGCCGCCGUAA
rnacentral:rRNA from 1 species